CCUACGGGCGGCUGCAGUGGGGAAUAUUGGACAAUGGGGGCAACCCUGAUCCAGCCAUGCCGCGUGUGUGAAGAAGGCCCUCGGGUUGUAAAGCACUUUCAGUGAGGAAGAACGCCUGGUGGUUAAUACCCAUCAGGAAAGACAUCACUCACAGAAGAAGCACCGGCUAACUCCGUGCCAGCAGCCGCGGUAAUACGGAGGGUGCGAGCGUUAAUCGGAAUUACUGGGCGUAAAGCGCGCGUAGGUGGCUUGAUAAGCCGGUUGUGAAAGCCCCGGGCUCAACCUGGGAACGGCAUCCGGAACUGUCAAGCUAGAGUGCAGGAGAGGAAGGUAGAAUUCCCGGUGUAGCGGUGAAAUGCGUAGAGAUCGGGAGGAAUACCAGUGGCGAAGGCGGCCUUCUGGACUGACACUGACACUGAGGUGCGAAAGCGUGGGUAGCAAACAGGAUUAUAUACCCUGGUAGUC
rnacentral:rRNA from 1 species